AUGGCUUACUCCGGCGACGUCGAGGAGGUGCCGGAGCACAGCGCGGCUCACCCGGCCGAGGCAUGCACGGGCGGCUUGGCGGAGGAAAGCCGGCCGGUCGCGGCCGACGCUACGUCCUCAGAUCACCAUGCGGCGGUGGCGGCGCAAGAUCAAGCUGGAAGAAUGUCUACGUCCAAGGAGAAGCGGGAGGCGGGGAAGCUGCUGCAGCCAGCGGACAAGGAGGAGGAAGGGGAGACCGCGCGGGAAAGGCUGAAGCGGCACAGGCGGGAGAUGGCGGGGAGGGUGUGGGUGCCGGAGAUGUGGGGGCAGGAGAAGCUGCUCAAGGACUGGAUGGACUGCUCCGCCUUCGACCGCCCGCUCGUGCCGGCCGGCUUGCUCACUGCGCGCCGGGCGCUCGUGGCCGAGUCCUGCGCGCGCCGCCCGGCCCCGGCACCACCUGCCAGCUCCAGUCCUCUCCGGGUGCAAGACGGCUGCUCCUGA
rnacentral:rRNA from 1 species